rnacentral:rRNA from 1 species
CAACCCUUGACAUCCUCAGCUACAUCCAGAGAUGGAUGGUUCCCUUCGGGGACUGAGUGACAGGUGCUGCAUGGCUGUCGUCAGCUCGUGUCGUGAGAUGUUCGGUUAAGUCCGGCAACGAGCGCAACCCACAUCCUUAGUUGCCAGCAGUUCGGCUGGGCACUCUAGGGAAACUGCCCGUGAUAAGCGGGAGGAAGGUGUGGAUGACGUCAAGUCCUCAUGGCCCUUACGGGUUGGGCUACACACGUGCUACAAUGGCAUCUACAGUGGGUUAAUCCCAAAAAGAUGUCUCAGUUCGGAUUGUCGUCUGCAACUCGACGGCAUGAAGUCGGAAUCGCUAGUAAUCGCGUAACAGCAUGACGMGGWGAAUACGUUCCC